CGACGGGUCGAGUAACGCGUGGAUAACCUGCCGUAUACCGGGGGAUAACACUUAGAAAUAGGUGCUAAUACCGCAUAAGCGCACGGCUCCGCAUGGGGCAGUGUGAAAAACUCCGGUGGUAUACGAUGGAUCCGCGUCUGAUUAGCUAGUUGGCGGGGUAACGGCCCACCAAGGCAGCGAUCAGUAGCCGGCCUGAGAGGGUGGACGGCCACAUUGGGACUGAGACACGGCCCAAACUCCUACGGAAGGCAGCAG
rnacentral:rRNA from 1 species